UUGUACCUAGCUUGCUUAAGUAUUAGUCGAAAAUGCUUACCAUCUGUAGUUAAGCCUAAAUGCGAUAUUCUGUUACUUUUUUUCUUUUCUCCAGAUCUUGUUGUUCUUUCAAAGUUGAUGCCUCUGUUCCUCUCCUGAUUGCCUCAGCAUGCUAACCUGUCCAUUUUUUGUUUAAGUUUCAGUAACGUCUAAGUUUAGAGAUUAGUGUCAUCUUUUUACUGGAUGAGUCAUGUUGGCUUUAGAGGUCCAAUCUCGGUAAAACGAUAAUUUAGUUCGAGUCUUAAUAUAAUUAAGGCUUGAGUUGACUUAAGUAUAAAAUAUAUGUUAAGAUUCCAAUAUCUUGCUUAUCUUCUUUGUUAUUUAAAGAUUAGUUUAUUCUCAAUAUUGCUACUGCCAAUGGUGCUUCUCUUUUCAAAAUAACAUCAGAAUGUCGAAGCUAACUAACGUGGAAUUUAUAUGUUGUCUCACCUACAGUUUGUUGAUAUAGUAGCUCAUUUUCGUCAUUUUCAUGUCUCAUAUUCAUUCCAUUGCCUAACUCGACAUGACCUUGACCUCCCUCUCAAUGGUCAAAUAUCAAUCCUUGGCGUAUCAUAGUCACUGCCCGGAUUUAAGUUAGGUCACCAUGUUCGGUAGUAGUUUUCUUGCAAAUAAGUGCCAUUUUGUGUGUUUAAGUGAUGAUAUUGGAAUGAAGUUGCCUUUUGUUUGUCAUGGUAGGAAGAUUAAGUGUUUAAUCACCAUUUGCAUCUUUACUUGAGUGUUGCCUCGCUUUGGGGGGGGUGGUUCAAUUUUGUUCAAUCUUGACCAAAAAUGUUGCUAGAUUUCGUUGUGAUUUCAUUGCUUCAAUGCAUACCAUGGAUGCUUAAAUAGAUAUAGUAGCAUUCAAUAUCAUAUUUUGGACCUUACGUGAGUUAUCAUUGCUUUUGCUGUAAUGCUUAAAAUUGGAAUGAUAAGGCACGUGUUUACAGUUUGUGUAUCUUGGCCUUAAAUAAAAUGGGACGUUACUUAUGUAUUUUUUUGUGGCAUGUGAUGCUCCAUCCGAGUGGACUCCUUUCUUGCAUUUCCUCCGAGUUGGAUUUCUUUGAGUCAACCUCAUCUUGUCCGAAUGAAAGGGAAGAAAUUACACGGAAAGGGACUGAUUUAUAGGUCUUGGAGAAGUCCAAAAUGGACUGUAUACAUGCUGAUAUACCCUCUGUAUACACUGAUAUACAGUCGAAAAAUACAAAAUACAGGUCCAAAACGUGAGAACACAGGUGAAAAGUGUAGAAAUACGAAAUUCAAAUGAAAUUACAGGUUCGGGAGUUCGAGAAUUAGCGAUACACAUGGUGUAUACCUCGAAUAUACACUUUGUGUAUACCAUGAUCAAGGAAGAGAAAAAAAAAAAAAGGGUCAAAGCCCAAAUGAAUUAUUACUUCAUUUUUUGCAGAUUUGGAAAUUUGGGCAAAAGCCCAAAUUCAAUAUAUUUCUCUUAAGUUAUUUGUUUAUCUAUUUGUUGAUUGACUAACGUUUUAUUUAUUUUUAUGGUUGAAUUUAAUUAAAAUCCCGAAGAUAGCUUUAUUUAUUUUUAUGGUUGAAUUUAAUUAAAAUCCCAAAGAUAGCCAUUUCUCCCCUUUUUUAUCUAUAUAUAUAUAUAUAUAUAUAUCCGAAUUAAACUAUUUCAGACUUAGCUUUGCUUUUCUUAUUAGUCUCGUCACUUGAAAUUACUUUCCUUUAGGAUAAACCCUCUUUAGUUUAUUUCCCUUUAAAAAAUAAAAUAAAUAAUAGUAAUAAUAAUAAAGUAAUAGAAUUUCUUAUAUUUAUGUUCCAUGCUUAGUUUUAUUUUUAGUCGUCCCGUCAACACUUGAGGUCUUCCCUUUAAAAAGUUUUUUCCUUUAGUUAUUCCCCUUAAUAAUAGUAAUAAUAAUAAAUAGAUAACAAAAUGCGAAUUUCCCUCUUACUCGGUUAAUAUUUUCUCAAAAAAAAUUAGUUGAAGUCACUUUUAGUCAAAUCGUUGGUCAACCGCAAGUUAGCGGACAUUCCGAGGGCCUAACACCUUCUCGGAAUGUACAUUUGAACUCAAACCCUUUUGUUUUCAAUUGAUUUUAUCUGUUUAAGUCUUUUGAAAAAUCUUAUAUUUUUUCUUGAUUUUUUACUAAAAAUUAAGUGGCGAUUCUGUCCUUUUGGAAAUUCGAUUUCUCUUAAACCGUAAGUUUAAUUGGUUUUUCAAAAACUAAGUCAUUUUUCCUUUUAUAUAUAUUUUAAAAUAAAACAGAAAUGGCGACUCUGCUGGGGANNNNNNNNNNNNNNNNNNNNNNNNNNNNNNNNNNNNNNNNNNNNNNNNNNNNNNNNNNNNNNNNNNNNNNNNNNNNNNNNNNNNNNNNNNNNNNNNNNNNUAUUCAUUCCAUUGCCUAACUCGACAUGACCUUGACCCCCCUCUCAAUGGUCAAAUAUCAAUCCUUGG
rnacentral:lncRNA from 1 species